rnacentral:rRNA from 1 species
AGGGCACCACCAGGAGUGGAGCCUGCGGCUUAAUUUGACUCAACACGGGGAAACUUACCCGGCCUGGACACUGGAAGGAUUGACAGAUUGAGAGCUCUUUCUUGAUUCAGUGGGUGGUGGUGCAUGGCCGUUCUUAGUUGGUGGAGCGAUUUGUCUGGUUAAUUCCGAUAACGAACGAGACUCUAGCCUAUUAAAUAGGCUCUCGGCUUUUAAACGCCGGGAGGACUUCUUAGAGGGACAGGUGGCGGUUCAGCCGCACGAAAGAGAGCAAUAGCAGGUCUGUGAUGCCCUUUGUUGUCCGGGGCCGCACGCGCGCUACACUGAAGAGAUCAGCGUGCUUUACGUUCCUGCUCCGACCUGAGUGGGGAACCCAGUGAACCUUCUUCGUGAUUGGGAUAGAAGAUUGUAAUUAUUCUUCUUGAACGAGGAAUUCCCAGUAAAUGCGAGUCAUAAGCUCGCGUUGAUUACGUCCCUGCCCUUUGUACACACCGCCCGUCGCUACUACCGAUUGAACGAUUU